rnacentral:rRNA from 1 species
CCGCAAGGAGCGCCCUAGGGUAAAACCGGUGACUGGGGUUAAGUCGUAACAAGGUAGCCGUACCGGAAGGUGCGGCUGGAACACCUCCUUUCU